ACUAGAAAUCAUCCAGGAAUCUCAACGGACUUCCCGUUGUUGAGCGUAGCGUCCAAUAAGCAGUGACACACCAAGUUGAUUAUCUCUUCAUUUUCUUCUUCGACCGCAGCCAUGUGAUCUUCACUUCUGUAUCCAGCACUGUGGAAAGUUUCUUGGAGAAUAUGAAGCUCUCCCCCAUGAAGAGACUGACUUCUCAUUCUUUGGAGAGCCUUGUUUUCGACUGAUCGCCGCAAUUUCCAAAGCCUGCAAGGGAUCUGGUGAAGUGUGGAAGUGACAGCCCCUGCCGCAUGGAUCCAAGGUCGUCUAAAAAGACAACUAUAAGAUGGGUUAAUGUACAUCAUUUGGAAGGUAGUCAUAAAUGUAUGUGGCUAAACCAUUAUUGGUAGAUCGACUUCUCCAAUUACCAUUCUUUUUGAACCGUAGAAUGCUUUGACGACCAAUGUGCUAGUCUUCAUGAAAGUUCUCACGACGUUCAGCUUUAUAUGAGAGUGUUUUUAGACAUGACAUUCAUAAAUGAUUCGGUGUCCACUAGUACCCUCGAAAGGAUACUAUCAUGGCAUUUGACCGAUAUAUGUAGGGCCUUAUUAUGGGUCUUCCCUUUUAGAGGUAAUCCGUCAUUGUUGAACCCCAAGUAAUUGAUGACAAUAAUAUUAGCUACUACUCCAUCAAAUUGAUCUAUUGUUAUAUCCUGGGUGACAUGUUCCUCGUUCAGGAUUUUUAAUAGGGCUCCCCUAUGAGCUUCGAAACUUAGUAAUAAAGACAACAUGGAGAUCUUAUACGGUGUUUGGUUCAAUUGAUCCACCACUCUGUAGUCACUCUUUUUGUUAAGUCUUAAGAAUUCCUCAGCCUCCUCUUGAGGUACGGUCAUCUUGGAUGUUGUUCAAGGGAGAACACACUUCCACUACGAGUCAUGCCCUGAUACCAGCUAUAUUAGUAACUAUUGGUUCCAUAAUUAAUUAUUUCUCUCCCACAUACGCCACAGUGUUAUAGUUCCGUGGUACUGAUUUAAUACUUUCAAAUGGGAAAAGUGCAGGAACAUGGAAGACAAUAUGUUCUACCGACAUCGUCGGUCUUUAAAAUGGAAUUUGAAAGGGUAUAUGAACAGGUAUUUGAAAUGGUGUCCAGCCUCUCUUCUUUGAUAGAGGAUCUCAAUUGGUACUGAAUUCUUCUACUUCCCUUCUCGCGUGCAAAAUCAGGAAAACUCUAAUGCAUAGUGGAAGAAAAAUGAUGCAGGAUGAAGAAGUUUCAGAAUACAGAAAUUGCAGAUUGAAAAAAUCUCCUUGAAUCGUGAAUUGCAAUCAAUUUAUAAGGUAUACCAUGCCGUGGAGCUAUUUUUGGAUGCUUGGAAUCUGACUUAGGAAUUGGAAUAUAGAUCUGUCACAUUGCUUUUGGUCAUGGAGUUUUUGAUAUGGGCUUAUGGUAGUAAUUGAUUUAAUUUGGAUGUAAAUAUGUAUAUGGUUCAUGGUAUGUAGGAUAAGUGAGGCAUGCAUGGUUGUAUGUAAUUGGUCAAAUGACUUGUAAAUGUAAUAUGUACUUUAGAGUUCCAAUUGUAUUGUAUUGUUGCGUAAAAGGAUGGAAUUGGAUUUUGUCA